rnacentral:tRNA from 1 species
GCCCCGAUAGCUCAGCUGGCCAGAGCACCGCUCUUGUAAAGCGGGGGUCGUCGGUUCGAACCCGACUCGGGGCU